AGGCACAUGGCGGUGUAGUUGGUCAUCACGCUCGCUUGGCAUGCGAGAGGUGCCCGAUUCGAUUCCGGAUAUGUCCG